CAGGAGGAAGCUCCUGAGCAGUUUAAGAUUGUAAUACCAAGAAUUCCUGCAUAUUUUACGGGAACAGGAGAUCUAAUGACCGCACUUCUACUUGGGUGGAGUAAUAAAUAUCCCGACAACCUUGAUAAGGCAGCGGAGCUUGCAGUAUCCAGUUUGCAGGCACUUUUGGUGAGGACAGUGAAUGAUUAUACAAGUGUGGAAUUUGAUUCAAAAUCGAGCAGCUUAGAGAUUCGGUUAAUUCAAAGUCAGGAUGACAUCCGGAAUCCGAAAUUGACAUUCAAAGCUCAAAAAUACACCUGAAAGCUAAUACAUGAUCAAUGAUGUGUAUUGAAGUAACAAUGACCCUCUUGUUUUUUAGUAAAAGGUAUAAUGCUAUACAAAGUUUAUACCAUUGUGUUAGAAUAAA